rnacentral:rRNA from 1 species
UGGGGAAUAUUGCACAAUGGGCGCAAGCCUGAUGCAGCCAUGCCGCGUGUGUGAAGAAGGCCUUCGGGUUGUAAAGCACUUUCAGCGAGGAGGAAGGGUAGUGUGUUAAUAGCACAUUGCAUUGACGUUACUCGCAGAAGAAGCACCGGCUAACUCCGUGCCAGCAGCCGCGGUAAUACGGAGGGUGCAAGCGUUAAUCGGAAUUACUGGGCGUAAAGCGCACGCAGGCGGUUUGUUAAGUCAGAUGUGAAAUCCCCGCGCUUAACGUGGAACUGCAUUUGAAACUGGCAAGCUAGAGUCUUGUAGAGGGGGGUAGAAUUCCAGGUGUAGCGGUGAAAUGCGUAGAGAUCUGGAGGAAUACCGGUGGCGAAGGCGGCCCCCUGGACAAAGACUGACGC